GAUGAAUGUGGCUCAGUUGUGACUCACAAAAGAAUUCCCUGAAAAUUCUUUUAUGUUCUGACCAACAUCGGCGGUAAAACACACAACUUCAAAGCUAAUGAAAAAUAAAUUGAACCAAAGAGAAACAAGAACCUACUUCUCUAGUCACAGUUGGAAUCGGUGAUAUUUGAUUUGCCAGACCCAUUCAAAUUGGAUGCGUAUCGAAACAAGACACCACCGUCCCCGUCGU
rnacentral:lncRNA from 1 species